AGCGAACGCUGGCGGUAUGCUUAACACAUGCAAGUCGAGCGCGAAAGUGACUUCGGUCAUGAGUAGAGCGGCGGACGGGUGAGUAACACGUGGAUAAUCUGCCUUUAGGACUGGGAUAACCCUGGGAAACUAGGGCUAAUACCGGAUAAGACCACAGGUUCCAUGGAACCAGGGGUAAAGGACGGCCUUCGGCGUGUCGCCGAAGAAUGAGUCCGCGUCCCACUCAGGUAGUUGG
rnacentral:rRNA from 1 species